UGGGGAAUUUUGGACAAUGGGGGAAACCCUGAUCCAGCCAUCCCGCGUGUGCGAUGAAGGCCUUCGGGUUGUAAAGCACUUUUGGCAGGAAAGAAACGUCAUGGGUUAAUACCCCGUGAAACUGACGGUACCUGCAGAAUAAGCACCGGCUAACUACGUGCCAGAAGCCGCGGUAAUACGUAGGGUGCAAGCGUUAAUCGGAAUUACUGGGCGUAAAGCGUGCGCAGGCGGUUCGGAAAGAAAGAUGUGAAAUCCCAGAGCUCAACUUUGGAACUGCAUUUUUAACUACCGGGCUAGAGUGUGUCAGAGGGAGGUGGAAUUCCGCGUGUAGCAGUGAAAUGCGUAGAUAUGCGGAGGAACACCGAUGGCGAAGGCAGCCUCCUGGGAUAACACUGCCGCUCAUGCACGAAAGCGUGGGGAGCAAACAGG
rnacentral:rRNA from 1 species